GACUAGGUUUGUUCACAUAUCAGUUUUCCCUCUUACUGACCAGAGCCUUACACAAUUGACACAACACUGGCGUAAUUCAUAAGGUCAUCUUUUCAAAUGGGUAAGUGCUUCUAAGAUGAAGUUACUUUUCCAACUGCACAGAAAGAACUUUUCUGCAACCUAGAUUCUUAUAUUUAUUUACCAUCAUUGAGCAUAAUGGUCUCAGUAAACCUGGCCAUCGUCUGAGUUAAACAGCCUCAUAUAUUAGGAAGAAAGUGGACCAGAAUUCAGAACAACCCUGAUUCAAAUCCCAACUUUGCUACUAACAAGUGAUGUGCUGUUAAGCCGGUGUCCUAACUCUUCCGGGUCUCAGUUUCUUAUCGUAAAAUGGGUUUAAAAUCUCAGCCAUAUAUCACAAAUUUUUUGUGAGGAUUCAAUGGAACAAGAUAUUAUAGAUGGUGGCUUUUAAGAAAAUGCUCAUUUGGCUAGGAGCUGACAGAACAUUUGGGUUGCACAAGGUCUGCUGGAGCACUUUAGAGAAUUCCAGAUGAAUCUUGAUUGCAUCCUGGAAUGUACCGCUGGAGCCCUGGGGACCAGCAUGGGACAUGAGUGAAGACAAGAUGGGCUCUACUGUCCUCCAGACCUGCAUAUGUGUGUUCGAAUCCUAACUCCAUGGGGCUUGAGUCUGUAUCCCUCUGGAAAAAUGGGAGUAAAAGUGCUUACCUUA